AGAGUGAACGCUGGCGGUAGGCCUAACACAUGCAAGUCGAACGGCAGCACAGUAGGAGCUUGCUCUUACGGGUGGCGAGUGGCGGACGGGUGAGGAAUACAUCGGAAUCUACCUUUUGGUGGGGGAUAACGUAGGGAAACUUACGCUAAUACCGCAUACGCCCUUCGGGGGAAAGCCGGGGACCAGCAAUGGCCUGGCGCUGAUAGAUGAGCCGAUGUCGGAUUAGCUAGUUGGUGAGGUAAUGGCUCACCAAGGCGACGAUCCGUAGCUGGUCUGAGAGGAUGAUCAGCCACACUGGAACUGAGACACGGUCCAGACUCCUACGGGAGCAGCAGUGGGGAAUAGUUAGACAAUGGGCGCAAGCCUGAUCCAGCCAUACCGCGUGGGUGAAG
rnacentral:rRNA from 1 species